rnacentral:tRNA from 1 species
CUGCCCUUAGCUCAGCUGGAUAGAGCAACAGCCUUCUAAGCUGUGGGUCGGGGGUUCGAAUCCCUCAGGGCAGGCCA